rnacentral:tRNA from 1 species
GCGCGGGUGGCGAAACUGGCAGACGCGCCACUUUGAGGGGGUGGUGGGGGCAACCCCGUGGAGGUUCAAAUCCUCUCCCGGGCA